rnacentral:rRNA from 1 species
UACGUAGGGGGCUAGCGUUGUCCGGAAUCAUUGGGCGUAAAGCGCGCGUAGGCGGCCCUGUUAGUCCGCUGUAAAAGUCAAAGGCUCAACCUUUGAAUGCCGGUGGAUACUGCAGGGCUAGAGUCCGGAAGAGGCGAGUGGAAUUCCUGGUGUAGCGGUGGAAUGCGCAGAUAUCAGGAGGAACACCGAUGGCGAAGGCAGGUCUCUGGGCCGCAACUGACGCUGAGGAGCGAAAGCAUGGGGAGCGAACAGG